AUGUGCAACAUGAUGUCUCUUCAUCUUAAGAAUACAUUAUAUGAAGUUGCUCCCAACUUUGUUGAAUUGGAAAGAAUCAAAUCCAUGAGUAUAAGUGAUAGCACACUUGAUAGGCUUGCAGGAAAAGUUCAUGCACUAAAUCAAGAAAAGAAACAGAGGCUUCGGAAGGUACCGGUGUUUGCUCUUCAUGUUAGUCAUUUAAAAAAACUAUGGGUCUAUGUUUACCUUUAG
rnacentral:rRNA from 1 species